rnacentral:rRNA from 1 species
GACAGAGGAGGCGAGCGUUAUCCGGAGUUAUUGGGCGUAAAGGGUACGUAGGCGGCUGUUCAAGUCUGGGGUUAAAGACCACAGCUUAACUGUGAGGGGGCCUUGGAAACUGACCGGCUGGAGUGGGGCAGGGGUUGCGGGAAUUCCCGGUGUAGCGGUGAAAUGCGUAGAUAUCGGGAAGAACACAUGAGGCGAAAGCGCGCAAGUGGGCCCUAACUGACGCUGAGGUACGAAAGCUAGGGGAGCAAACCGG